rnacentral:rRNA from 1 species
UGGGGAAUCUUGCGCAAUGGGCGGAAGCCUGACGCAGCAACGCCGCGUGAGGGAUGACGGCCUUCGGGUUGUAAACCUCUUUCGCGAUCGACGAAGGCCCACUUUCUGGUGGGUUGACGGUAGGUCGAGAAGAAGCACCGGCCAACUACGUGCCAGCAGCCGCGGUAAUACGUAGGGUGCGAGCGUUGUCCGGAAUUAUUGGGCGUAAAGAGCUCGUAGGCGGUGUGUCGCGUCGGCCGUGAAAACCUGGGGCUCAACUCUGGGCGUGCGGUCGAUACGGGCAUCACUUGAGUUCGGCAGGGGAGACUGGAAUUCCUGGUGUAGCGGUGAAAUGCGCAGAUAUCAGGAGGAACACCGGUGGCGAAGGCGGGUCUCUGGGCCGAUACUGACGCUGAGGAGCGAAAGCAUGGGGAGCAAACAG